rnacentral:rRNA from 1 species
GACGAACCGAGCGAACGUUAUUCGGAAUUACUGGGCGUAAAGCGUGCGCAGGCGGUUCGUUAAGUUCGAUGUGAAAGCCCCGGGCUCAACCUGGGAACUGCAUUGGAAACUGGCGAGCUUGAGUAUGGCAGAGGGGGGUGGAAUUCCGCGUGUAGCAGUGAAAUGCGUAGAGAUGCGGAGGAACACCGAUGGCGAAGGCAGCCCCCUGGGCCAACACUGACGCUCAGGCACGAAAGCGUGGGGAGCAAACAGG